CAAAAGUUCAAACAUCAACCAGUAGCUAGCUUAAUAUAAACUGCAUGUACACCUACAGUUUGCUAACAAGUCACUGUAAUAGCUAUAAUAGCUUAUAGCAUCCAUUCGUGUACAUGCAUGUAGCUGAUAGCAGUAACAAGUUGUGUACUAUACAAAGUUUAAGCUUAUUGAAUAAAGACACACGAAAGCAAUGGAUCUAUCUCCAUUGACACAAGGGGAACAAAAGAAUGAACAGCCACAACAAGUGAGCAGUCACAGUCCGUCAGCUCAACACACUAGUUGGCCACCAACUGUUUACCGCCCACACUCCUCUCACACUAGAACAGAACAAUGUAUCACUGUUUCAGACACCACUCAGAUGACUACUAGCACUCAUUCACACUCAAGUGCUCAUUUCCAAUCGUCUAUUAGCGCUAACAAUGAACAAAUAGAGGCUAGUCCUCAAGAUUAUGACUGUCUGAGUACUCCACCAGCUAAAAGAGUGUGUCCUCAACAGCUCAAUUCUAUUGCUAUAUGUACACAUCCGUUGUCUACUGCAACCAGAAGUAAAACUAUAGCAAGUUCAAGUCAGACAAUACCAGCUGGUAUUCAUGUCUACAGAAUAGACGUGGUUUGUUGUAUUGCUGACGCUCUGUCAAAAAAUUGCUCGUUGAUGGAACUAACAAUCAAAAACACAGGCUUUCUGGGAUGGACUUUUUUAUAUUUGAAAGCUUACAUAAAAACACAACGUUAAACACGCUAGACUGUAGUGAUGAUUUUUAUUAUUUACAAGAACUUAAAAACAAUGAUGAAGUCGCUAAAUCUUUGUGUGAAAUGCUAAUACACAAUCAAGGCCUUCAACUGUCAUUUGUACAGUAUGUUGUCUUAAAGCUUCGACUAUUUCUUCCCAUGGCAAUCUUCUGAUAGCAUGUCGUUGGUCUAGGGCUUUCCUUAAGCACAAUCAAGGCCUUCAAAAUCUAAAUAUUGGCGAUAAAUUGAUUGAGGGUCAUUUAAAAGAGUUUGCAAUGGCAUACAUUCAGAGAAAGCCUGUCCUAAAUUUAAUUGUUGAAAAAUUGGAAGAUGAUUUAGUGAAAGAGAUCGAGGGACUUGAAACAGAUAAUACUGAUAAGGAGUACAACAUCAAAAACAGAUACUAACCACCACUGUAGAUUUAGAGACUGCUAUCAUUACAAUGCCUCGGGCAUACUUUGUUUUGCUCAAUUAAGUGCUAUGGAAGAUGUUCGUUAGAAAUGUACAAUAAUAAGAUUCAUAUAAUUAUACUAUAAUUAUGUUUGUGAUCAAACCUGUAUUUUCAUGAGGUGUGUGUAUCGCA